rnacentral:rRNA from 1 species
CGGAACUGCCGGUCAUAAACCGGAGGAAGUGGGGAUGACGUCAAGUCAGCAUGGCCUUUAUAUCCUGGGCUACACACACGCUACAAUGGAAGGGACAAUAGGUUGCGAAGCCGCGAGGCGGAGCCAAUCCAGCAAAACUUCCCUCAGUUCAGAUUGCAGGCUGCAACCCGCCUGCAUGAAGUUGGAGUUGCUAGUAAACGCAGGUCAGCCAUACUGCGUUGAAUACGUUCCCGGGGCUU